rnacentral:rRNA from 1 species
UGCCAGCCGCCGCGGUAAUACGGAGGGUGCAAGCGUUGUUCGGAAUUAUUGGGCGUAAAGCGCGUGUAGGCGGUUCGUUAAGUCUGAUGUGAAAGUUUGCGGCUCAACCGUAAAAUUGCCUUUGAUACUGGUUGUCUUGAAUUAGUGUGAAGUGAUUAGAAUGAGUAGUGUAGCGGUGAAAUGCAUAGAUAUUACUCAGAAUACCAAUUGCGAAGGCAGAUCACUAACACUAUAUUGACGCUGAGGGACGAAAGCGUGGGGAGCGAACAGGAUUAGAUA